rnacentral:lncRNA from 1 species
CCUCUGACUCUGAGCUCUCCUCGGUCACUUUGUAAAACAUCGGAAACAGUCCAAGAAACACAGGACUUUCCACCAGGAUUUGCACCUCUGUCCCUGUCCCCGGCACAGACUGGGUUUUUCAGUUCUAGUGUGAUAUGACCUAAUGGUGCCCAUGUGGACUUUUGGGCUACCACCAGCACCCCCUCCCCCCAACACACAGACAGAGCCCUGUUUCUCAACCCAGCAUCGUACCAGACACAGGACUGGAGUCUGAUGAAGGAAUAGCUGAAUAAAUAAAUGAGUGAAGAGCCAGGAAGUUCUGGACCAUGGAGAAG